UACAGAGGAUGCAAGCGUUAUCCGGAAUGAUUGGGCGUAAAGCGUCUGUAGGUGGCUUUUUAAGUCCGCCGUCAAAUCCCAGGGCUCAACUCUGGACAGGCGGUGGAAACUACCAAGCUAGAGUCCGGAAGAGGCGAGUGGAAUUCCUGGUGUAGCGGUGAAAUGCGCAGAUAUCGGGAGGAACACCAAUUGCGAAGGCAGCUCGCUGGAACGUAACUGACGCUGAGACGCGAAAGCGUGGGGAGCAAACAGGAUUAAGAUAC
rnacentral:rRNA from 1 species